UACGUAGGGGGCAAGCGUUGUCCGGAUUUAUUGGGCGUAAAGAGCGUGUAGGCGGCUUUACAGGUCCGUUGUGAAAACUCGAGGCUCAACCUCGAGACGCCGGUGGAAACCGUAAAGCUAGAGUCCGGAAGAGGAGAGUGGAAUUCCGUGGUGUAGCGGUGAAAUGCGCAGAUAUCAGGAGGAACACCCGUGGCGAAAGCGGCUCUCUGGGACGGUACUGACGCUGAGACGCGAAAGCGUGGGGAGCAAACAGG
rnacentral:rRNA from 1 species